rnacentral:rRNA from 1 species
UCGCACCUACCGAUUGGAUGGUCCGGUGAGGAGUCGGGAUUGCGGCUUGGUUCCUUUAUUGGGAUCAGGCUGCGAGAACUUGUCCAAACCUUAUCAUUUAGAGGAAGGUG